AUUCGCUAGUAAUCGCGGAUCAGAAUGCCGCGGUGAAUACGUUCCCGGGUCUUGUACACACCGCCCGUCACACCAUGGGAGUCGGAAAUGCCCGAAGUCUGUGACCCAACCUGAGAGGGAGGGAGCAGCCGAAGGCAGGUCUGAUGACUGGGGUGAAGUCGUAACAAGGUAGC
rnacentral:rRNA from 1 species